AUCCAGACUCCUACGGGAGGCAGCAGUGGGGGAUAUUGCACAAUGGGGGAAACCCUGAUGCAGCGACGCCGCGUGGGUGAAGGAGCGUUUCGGCGCGUAAAGCCCCAUCGGCAGGGAAGAAGGAGGACGGUACCUGACUAAGAAGCCCCGGCUAACUACGUGCCAGCAGCCGCGGUAAUACGUAGGGGGCAAGCGUUAUCCGGAUUUACUGGGUGUAAAGGGAGCGUAGACGGCUGUGCAAGUCUGAAGUGAAAGCCCAGGGCUCAACCCUGGGACUGCUUUGGAAACUGUGGAGCUAGAGUGCUGGAGAGGUAAGUGGAAUUCCUAGUGUAGCGGUGAAAUGCGUAGAUAUUAGGAGGAACACCAGUGGCGAAGGCGGCUUACUGGACAGUAACUGACGUUGAGGCUCGAAAGCGUGGGGAGCAAACAGGAUUAGAUACCCCAGUA
rnacentral:rRNA from 1 species